ensembl:lncRNA
CCGGCUCCGGCCCCGCCCCGGCGCCCCGCCCCCCGCCAGGCGCAUGUCUGCACCUCAGCUUGUAAGAGGCUCUACGUCAGCGACUGGAUGCUCGCCAUCAAGGUCCAGUGGAAGUUCUUCAAGAGGAAAAGCGCCCCCACCCUAGGGCUUCCUCGCCCGCGCUCCCGCUCCCGCUCAGUGCCCGUUUUACCAAUAAACUGAGCGACCCCAGAGCCGUGUGCGCCUCCUGCUGGGCCUGCGCUCGCCGAAGCCCUGUCCUGUCUUGGCGUCUGCCAGGCUGUCCUGAGCCACGCAGGGAGGCGCCGGGCGCGCGAGACCUGGCCUCGAAGCCAAGGGGCUGAGGGGCUCCCUGGCGUGUGCAGGUCAAGUCGAAGAAGACGCGCUGAGUGGCCUGGGGGUCUCCGAGCGGGCCGUGGCUCCUCCCCAAGGCUUGUGCACGCACUGCUCCACCCAGCACUGCUCCACCCAGCUUCGGGGCUGCCUCCCUAGAAGCAUGGGGCCAGAUCUUCAGCACUGGGUGCUGGAAUGCUUGUCCCGAAAGCGGGGAGACCAGUGGCUUUAGUCAAUGGGGCUGAGGGUUCCAGGUCUUCACUGGGGUCCCUGACCCGUCUGGGCUAGGACAUGCCCUGACCUUGGUCAGCAAGGACAGGCAGAUGGCAGGGGCUGCUCUUUGUCCACCCAUGCCAGUCCAGGAGGAAGCUGCCUACUGCCCGUGGCCGUUCUUGUUGCUGCAGUCAGAGGCUGAGUGGGGUGAGCAGAUGCCCUGCUAGCUCACAGCGCCAGUGGUUGGGGCCUCUGUGUGGCCCCAGGUUUUCUGGCCUGCAGCAGCGUGCACUGUAGGGUUCUCUGCAGGGUGGGCAGCAGUUUGCUCACCAGGUUCCAGCGUGUUGGACCCCAGCCAACGAAUGACCUCUGUGUCUUCUGGGGCCAGCUCAAACAGCACCACUGAGAUGGUCAUGCUGUUACAGGACUGCACGCACUCCUUCCAUUCCUCGCCACUUCCAGCUUCUGUGGCUGCUGGCAGUCCCUGGCUUGUGGCAGAAUCACUUGUCCCUGCCUCUAUGAUCAGAGGGCUUCCUCUUUGUGGGUCUCACAACUCCCCUCCUAGGGCACAUGCAGCACACUUAGGACCUGGUGGGAGAAGCAGGUAAACCUCCCACCCUAACCCCCACUUGACUCACAUCCAGAAGACUCCUGCUUAGACACAAAGCAGAUUGCAAGUCCUAGGUGCUGGGUUCCCAACAUCCUUGGGCAUAUUCAGUGCCCUACAGUGGCUGAGAAUGGACACAAUGCAGCCCAGUGGAGGGGGCUGUUCUGCCAGCAAGAGAGGGGUGUCCAGGGGAACCUCAAGGUUGCUGGCAUUUCUACCCAGUCCUGACACUUGAAGGCGGAAUUGGAAGAAAAGAGCUGCAUCACUAUGCAGCCCUGCAGUUUGGGAAUUCGACUCUCCAGGCUGUGCUGAGGGAAUGUCACAGGCCUCCAAGGAGCCCCACCCCCCUAACCCUAACCCUAAUCCGGGUGAAGGUAUGGAAGCCCUGUGAGAUGUGAACUUCUGAUGAAAUGCCAAAUAAUUUUUUUUUU